rnacentral:rRNA from 1 species
CCCGUGCUAAGCAUCUCUCCAAUCACUUGCAAUGUAUAUAUACUCUCGCUAUCAAUCAAGCGCCGAAAGCGAUUUACACGAUAAAAAGUUCAGAAUUACAGUGCGAAACAUGAAACAUGCAAGGAGUGGUCCGGAAGGAGAGAAUCUCUUGAAAAAAAAUCUUGCUUGUACGUCCACCGCUGCCCUGCGAGCACAGGAGCUACCAUCGGCCUAUUUAAACCUCGGUUAUCUGCCCGUCUGGUCGCGUCAACAAACGAACUCGUACGUGGUACUAAAGUCUGCACCAAGCUUUAGGUCGUCGAACCAUGUCCAAGGAGGAGGUGAUCGCCGGCGGCGACACGGCCGACGUGGCCGUGGAGAAGGCGCCCUACUGGGACCCGCCGCCGGCCCCGCUGCUGGACACGAGCGAGCUGACCCGGUGGUCGCUGUACCGCGCGGUCAUCGCCGAGUUCGUGGCCACGCUCAUCUUCCUCUACGUCAGCCUCGCCACCGUCAUCGGCUACAAGAGCCAGUCCGCCGCCCAGCCGGGCACCGGCGUCGGGUACCUCGGCGUCGCCUGGGCCUUCGGCGCCACCAUCUUCGUCCUCGUCUACUGCACCGGCGGCGUCUCAGGCACGCACGCACGCACAUAUGCAUACGUCCAUCUCUCUGCAACAACUUAACCACACAUGCAUACGAUACGUGAACUGUCGAGUGUGUGCUGCUGCAGGUGGCCACAUCAACCCGGCGGUGACGUUCGGGCUGUUCGUGGGGAGGAAGCUGUCGCUGGUGCGCACGGUGCUGUACAUCGUGGCGCAGUGCCUCGGCGCCAUCUGCGGCGCCGGCAUGGUGAAGGGGAUCGCGGGGGCCAGCUACGAGACCCUCGGCGGCGGCGCGAACUCGGUGGCCGACGGCGUCUCGAUCGGGGCAGGGCUCGGCGCGGAGAUCGCCGGCACGUUCGUGCUGGUGUACACCGUGCUCUCCGCCACCGACCCCAAGCGCACCGCGCGCGACUCCUUCAUCCCCGUGCUGGUGCCGCUGCCCAUCGGCUUUGCCGUGUUCAUCGUGCACCUGGCCACCAUACCCAUCACCGGCACCGGCAUCAACCCGGCCAGGAGCCUCGGCGCCGCCGUCAUGUACAACCAGCACAAGGCAUGGAAGGACCACUGGAUAUUCUGGGUGGGGCCGCUCCUCGGCGCGACGGUGGCUGCGUUGUACCACCGGUUCGUGCUGCGCGGCGAGGCCGCCAAGGCGCUGGGCUCGUUCAGGAGCACCGGCGCCGCCACCGCACGAACCUAAUCAUACUGCGUGUGAUCGUUCGAAGCUCGUUGAUGCAUAUCCUGGCUCUAAUUUAAUUUGGUUGGUUAUAUAACUAUAUAUUCGUGAUGUAUGCCUCGAUCGUGAAAUUAUAUUGUGUUGAACCGCGUAGCUUUGCAUGGGCAUGCAUGCAUGUGGCGUCUGUAUUGUUUUCUCCAUUUUUGCGCGUCUGUACUUGAUUAACUUGCCCAGCUGUGUGAGGUUGUCCGUGAAUAAUUACCACCCUAACACAUGUUUAUAUGUGGAUGUGAAAGAAGAGGGAGAAUAAUAGUAUUAAUUUUUUUGGAGAUUUGCUCAUGAGAAAACAAUUUGACUAGCUAAGAAUAUGUACUAGAGUGAACCAACAUGUGAUUGGAUAGUUAGAAGGACAGUGGCAUCCCCAGCCCACCAGGGUUCAAGUUCUGGUGCUCGCAUUAUUCCUGAAUUUAUUUCAGGAUUUCCGGCGAUGCGCUUUCGGGUGAGUGUAUAUGCAUAUGUAUAAGCGCUUGCGAAUGUACUGUGUUCAAAAAAAUAUGUACUAAAAAAGAUUGUGAAAUCUGCCCAAAUAACUAAGGGUGGGCGUUCGCGUUUGGAUGGGUUACGAACUGGAACGCACUCGUUCUCCGAAAGAGAAUUUUCCAUCAAUAUUCGGAACGCACUCGUUUGUCCAAUUUGGUGGAUCCACGCAGAACGGCCUCUUGCUCUCGCCUCUCACUUGUCUUUCCUGGCUGGGGUUGUACCUUGUGCUAUGUGAAGGAAAUAUGCCCUAGAGGCAAUAAUAAAGUUGUUAUUUUAUAUUUUCCUUAUUCAUGAUAAAGGUUUAUUAUUCAUGCUAGAAUUGUAUUGAUCGAAAACUUAAAUACAUGUGAAUACAUAAACAAAUACCGU